UCUCCCAAUUUCCAAUCCUGGCCUGCUCAAAAAAAAAAAAAAAAAAAUCCCAAUCCUGGCCGCCAGGGGCUGCCACACCUCUCCUCCCUACACAUCUCCUCAUCUACGCCGCCAGGGGCCGUCCGCCGUCCGCCCCUCUUCUCCCUCUGCGUCGCCAGGGGCCGAUGAUCCCCCCUCCCUCUCGGCCGCGUCGCCCGGUGGCCCAGGUGCCCCCCUCGCGCUCUCCCUCUCCUUCCGUCGCCAGCUUGCCGCCUCCGGGCAAGUGCCCCGGAUCCUUCGCCACCUCUGCGGGGGUCCUCCUCAUCAUCCCUUGAAGUCUGGACCGAUCGCCGACGCCGUAGGGUCCUCUGUGCCCGGCCUCCCGCCCACUAUCAACGGCCUGUGCCUCCAUCACCGGCAUCCCAGGUCGACCCCCCUCCCCUACCUGCGCCGACGAUCUGACCAUACCCCGACGCACCGGCGCCCUGCUUCCUCUCGGCGCCGCUGCCGCCCUUGCCCCGACACCUCGGCGCCCCGACGUCGAUGCCUGGCCGCCCACGCUCUGCUCCGACGCCCUGUCCGCACCACCAACUGACGCCAUGGGCCUGCGGCCCACGCCAGGACAACGGCCUCCACCCCCAACGCUGAGCUGCCACCCGCCGUGCCGCCUAGCCGCCUGGCCGCCGUGUGCCCGCGACGCUGCGCUGAGGACCGAGGCAACAAUUCUCUCCGAUGCAAAGCGUGCUGAGUGCUGCUGCUGCUAGCUAGCUACUGAAUUGUGCAAAGCACUGUAUACUAUGUGAUGUAGGGAAAAGACUGCAUAGGGAAAAGUACCUUACUGAAAUCUUAAAGGGCAGUAAAUCGAUAGCUGUGGGCACCUUGCAGCAAGGGCGCUUUCCUCAUUACUUGAUCAGAUUACUACUUUCAAAAUAAAGUAGCCCAUGGAGGAUUCCCAAUGAAGUGAAAAAGCAAGAUUUUGGCCCUGUGACUUAAUACAUUUAUGUGCCAGUGUUUCUAUGUCUAGCAAACUAGGAUAUAUAUUUGUGCUAUAUGUGAUUACUGUUAGUGACAAUUUGUGAAUAUUUUGAUUUGGUAUUUUAAAAUGAUAUAUAAUUAUUUGUGCUA